GACGAACGCUGGCGGCGUGCUUAACACAUGCAAGUCGAACGGAAAGGCCCUGCUUUUGUGGGGUGCUCGAGUGGCGAACGGGUGAGUAACACGUGAGUAACCUGCCCUUGACUUUGGGAUAACUUCAGGAAACUGGGGCUAAUACCGGAUAGGAGCUCCUGCGGCAUGGUGGGGGUUGGAAAGUUUCGGCGGUUGGGGAUGGACUCGCGGCUUAUCAGCUUGUUGGUGGGGUAGUGGCUUACCAAGGCUUUGACGGGUAGCCGGCCUGAGAGGGUGACCGGCCACAUUGGGACUAAGAUACGGCCCAGACUCCUACGGGAGGCAGCAGUGGGGAAUAUUGCACAGUGGGCGGAAGCCUGAUGCAGCAACGCCGCGUGCGGGAUGACGGCCUGCGGGUUGUAAACCGCUUUCGCCUGUGACGAAGCGUGAGUGACGGUAAUGGGUAAAGGAGCACCGGCUAACUACGUG
rnacentral:rRNA from 1 species